AGGUUUAACUGAAAAUAGCUGCUGUCCUCAGAGCUAACGGGCCAGCAUGGACAGAAGAGGUGGACAGUGUUGAUGAUAUUCCUGGUGCUCUCACAGUUCCAGAUGCAAAUGCUGAGCUUCUAUUGAAGGAAGAACAGUGGAACUGGAGAGUGAAUGGAGCCAGCCCAGCUGCACUUGAAAAACGUCUGCCCAAAGCUGUUUGUUGUGAAUCCAUGCCUGGUGUCCCUCUGCAGAGCAGCACAAGGCCAGCUCUUCCUCCAGCUGUGAUUUUUGCUUUUUCUUUCUGAAGUACCAGUUCCUGCUGAGCCCUUGGCAGCAUCCUUCCCUCCAAGGGCAUUCCUCUCCCCCUCAGGGUGUUACUGCCAGCACCAGGAGUUAGAAUAAGCCCAUCUGGAAGCCAGCUCUGCAGACUAUUUCUAGAGCAGCAAGCAAUACUAGUGAACUAAAGACCAAGCAAUACUGCAUAUUUAUACCCUGGAAAGAAACCAACAGGUGACACCCACUUCUGCAGAACACAACUGGAGUUCUCUUAUUUCUUGGCUUAUUUUCUAAAUGAAAUGUCAACCCACCCACCCAGAAGAAACCGUAAUAUUUCAAGAAUACCAGACUGCAGCAAAACGAACUAGCCUGUCUGUAAUAUAAACAGGCAACAAAUAAAUUCGUAAAAACCUUGGAA